GAAUGAGGCAGGGACAAACGCCUGCGUUGGCAGGACGCGGUGGUUAGGGCUGAUAUACUGCAGCUGGUUAAUACCUGGCCUGGGGAGCUGGGAGCAGCUUGUGUCUUUAUUGCUUGGUUUUUGGUUUAUAGCUCUUGGCAGAUACCCAGAGAACGAGAUGAGUCCCUGUUUUUAAUCCUGUUACAGAACCAACCCCACAACAUGAUGCUGAGCACCACGGAGCGUGCAGGCAUGGGGAAUACCCCUGCCACAGAGCUGUGCCUGCUGUGAUUGCUGUGCCCUUCUCCCGGGAGGUGCUGCCAUCCCCUGCACACGAGUCGGGGCAAAACCCUGGAUGUUCUGGCUCUCGUGCUUCCCCUUUGAGACAACGGGCUGUGCCUGCAGACCAGGAGUAGGAGGAACUUCCCUCCUACUAGGGAGGGGGUGACAUCCCACGCUUCAGUCUGCUUUGUUAUCCACGACUGUUUCCUCGUUGUGUUUGUUAUGGAAUUGGAGAGCACAGUUGGCAGACGCAGCCCAUGAACACUGCACAAGGUGCUGGGGGUUCCUGGCCCUGAUGCCCAUGUAGAGGAUGGAUCUCCUACUGCAACCACCCGUUUCUGUGCUGCUCCUGCUCCGGGUACCUCCAUACCUUCAGAGUGGGGACAUGCCGUGCUGAGGAUGGCUCGGGGCUGCUCCCCUGAGAGCCGAGAUGGAGCUCCGGGUAGAUCCUUAUGGGCAAACACACUGCAACCACGAUACUGAUGCUCCAGGAAGAGAUGGAAAAGGAUGUAACACAUUCAGUUCCUCUCCAAUCUCCACUGCCAGCCCUGCCAUGUGUGCUGUCCAUAUAACAUGUGGGGAUGCUGUCGCUCCUGUCGAGGGGAUGGUGCUGAGUGGACC
rnacentral:lncRNA from 1 species